rnacentral:lncRNA from 1 species
AUAAUCCUAACAUAUUCCCAGAUUUUUGAAAUUUUUUGACACUAUGCAUUUUCUGCUAAAUAACAGUCUCGAUUCACACAGAAAAUUCAAAAUCUUCUAUUCUCGCUCCGAUUUCCGCACGAGUCGAUCCCGACUUAUAUUUUACUUCUAUAAGUCCAAUAAAAAUAGUAUCUCACACUAUUUUUAUUUAUAUUUAUUUUUAUAAUAAAUUCCG